CGGAAAUUAAACGAGUAUAAAUACGCUGAGCAGAAGAAUGUUUUUUAUCAGAAGUAAUAUUUUGAAAGUUGUGUAUAUUUUUUCUGCUGACUUAAUAUCAAAAUGUCCAAGCUGUUAUUGGUUGCCUUUUUAAUUGCGCUAUUCGCUUUGGGCGCCUAUGGUAUUUGCGCAGAGCGAGGAGAAAGAUGCGUUCAUGGUGACCAUUGCUGCAGUAACUGGUGUGUCAACUCAAAGUGCGACGUAGACCCGCGAACUCACGAUGAAGGCGGAUUGGUCGAGCGAGUUGCUCGCAUCGGGUUUGGACGAAAAUAAGCCAAUCGUGGAAAAUAUUAUAAUUUUAUAAUUACAAAAAGAUUUGAUGUAAAAAUGAUAUGAGUU